UUGAGGAAGAUCGACCUUUAUUUAUUGAAACUGCUUGCAUACAAAAUAUAUUGCACUAUAACCAGACAUGUCAACCCAAACAUCUUAAAUGCUAGUAGUAGUAUGUACAAAAGAAAAGAAAAAUGCCCAAAAAGUGCACACAAGGUUUUACAGCGGGUUUUUUUUCUCUACCCUGGUUGAAGUAUCUACAGAUUCUCUGUGUGUCUUCACUUCCUGGCAUAAUAUAGUUGAACAGCCAACAAUGUGCCUAGAUAGUAUUUGCUUAUGUAUAUACAUUCUGCAAAUAAAUGUCUGCUGACAUGUGCUGUGGAAUAGCAACCAACAACAAUGACAAUUUUAGGUCUCAUCUCUUUAGAUGGUUCCCCGUAAACCAUGCUGCAACCCCAACGUGACGGGUCCAUACUUUGGUCACGUCAUUGCCUUUGUACGUUAAACUGUUGCUGUAAGAGUAAGAAUCCACACCAAAUGCACAUCAAAUCAUCCAGAUCCCCUCUCUAUCAAGAAAAAAAACAAGGUACCACCAGACAAUCUGCCAGAAAACAUCCUCAACACAGCAACGUUUCACAAGAAAAACUGUCCAAUACUUGUAUUGUUGUAUUUAUGUCAACUGACAGUAAACUUUCAAUCAUGCCGUUUCUUUGUUGUCCUGUAAGGCAGAAACCUCCAGUGAAAGUUAUUUCUGCACUCAGUUAUUAACAGUCUAUUUGCAAUGACAAUGCUAAAAAGAUUGAAAAUGUCACAAGCAGACAAACCUCCAUCCCAAACCCACUAGGCUCACAUUUUGAAACUUCAUGUGGGUUAACAGCUUUUUAGGGAGGCAUUUUAAACCCCACCACUGAAAUUUAAACUGGGGUGUCAAACAAUGUACAGCGCAUCUUUACAACCUAUACGGUUCUUUUGAUUAAUCUCUAGGAAUCAGUGCCACUGAGGUGGACACAGUGAAGAGUUUCUAGUCUUAAACGUUCUUUAGGGACUUCACAUAUCACGCAAAUCUGUUUCUAGGGAAACAUUUCUGAUGCCUCAUCCCUUGUGACCACAUGUGCAGUGUUUCCCAUGGCUAGAUACCACGUAUCAGGAUACUCACAGUGAGUUGUUUCCAAUGCAAGUCACUCAAAAACCACAGAACUGAAUAACAAGGCCACAACCAGUAAGUUGUGGAAACUUGAACGUAAAGGCUUCCUUAGUACCAUUUUUCCAAUGACCCAAACUGGUCAGCAUGCAACUGUCCUUUACUGCUUUUUUUUUUUUUUUUUUAAAUGUACAUUUUCCACAGUAUAUAAGCCUUGGUUUCAAACUAUAGUUUGUUAGUAAUGCCCCUAAAAAGGCAACCAAAGCAUGAAAAAAAAAAAAACUUCAGCUCUCCCAAAUGUAGUUUUCGGUCUGGAAAUUAAAAACUUCUACUCUGAACUUUGUGUUAGGAGGCACAAUAAAAUACACCAACAAGCAGGUUGUAGCUCACACAAAAAUGCAAAGAAUUUCAUUGUCACUGGUGCGACGGUGUGAAAGUAGGACAUUUGUAGACUCAAUACAAUUUUUUUUUUUGUCAUUUCAAAGAGAAUCAGCUCUUGCAAGAAAAGUCUCACCUGUAAAUUUAUGAAAACAUUACAGUAUUUUAAAAGAAAAAGAGGUUAAGGGAAUCCUAACAAAACUCUCAUUAGUCAUUUGGGUCUCUGUACAUAAAAAGAUGACAAGUCCAGGGUAUAAGACACAUUUACUGGCUUUAAAUUAAAGGGAAAAUCCACAUUAAACAUGAGUUACUUCAGUUACAGAAGGAGGCAAGCUUUUACCAAAGCUGGUACAUGCUUGUAGGUAGACCAAUGCAUCCUUUAUGGGAGAAAAAUAAACAAAGAGGUAAUUAGCUUAGCAUGGCAUUAUGCUAUGGGGUAAACAGCUAAGCAGACUUAUGGUCACCCAAUAACAAGCUGUACCUAAUAAGUUAAAUGAAUGCUUUUUAAUUACCAAUUACAAGCUUAAUUCACCACAUUUUAACAUUUCAGUGCAUCUUCAGCAACCCUAAAGGCGCCUUUAAACUUUGGAUAGAACCUGUGCUUAGCUAGGCUAACCACCUCUUAGCUGCAUCUGUUAGCACAUAGACAUGAGCCUAAUGUUGAUGGUCUCAUCAUAUUUGAGGACUAACUGUUGAUAUUGGUCAAGUUCUAGCUAGUUUAACCUCAACCCUUUAAAAAACUGGUGGCUCUUUGGAACACCCAAAUAAAAGAAAUCAAUGGAUUAACGCUGAAAAUGUACGUAUGGCUAAGACAAAACUCAGCCCUAACCUUACAUGGUCCGUUGGUGGACUAGUGCAGUGGUCCCCAACCUUUUUUGCGCCACGGACCGGUUUGUGCCCGACAAUACUUUCACGGACCGGCCUUUAAGGUGUCGCGGAUAAAUACAACAAAAUAAAACUAGUACCGAUACCAAUAAAAAUAAGAUUUAUUCAUAACACAAGUGAAAAGACCCAGGAAAACCGAGUUAACGAAAAAAAACGAUAACAAAAUAACGCUAAAAACCGAUAAAAAACCCUGAAAACCAUACAUUUCACACCAGAGUCUCACUCUCCCGGCCCGGUACCAAAUGACUCACGGACCGGUACCGGUCCGUGGCCUGGGGACCGCUGGACUAGUGGAUAGUGGUAGCUAGUGGUAAACAUGGCCAAUCAUUACCAAAGACCUGAGUUGAAAAAUGUCACUGGACAUUUUUUAAAUUAAAUUAUGCCCAACCAGACAGGUAUACUAAAUAAUAUAUUUUGGAUGGAGUAUCACUAUGAACUUUGGUGCAUUAUUUGGAUGGACUUAAUUGCUGUUUCAGAAAAUUAGUGGACGCAUUAUAAAAGUAACACAGUGCCACUGAAUCAACUAAACACUGUACAGACUAGUCAAAAUCAGUCUUAGCAAACCUUCUGUAUGUGAUUUCAACCAUUCAUUGUGGAUUUUCCCCGUCUGGCAAAAACAAAAGAAAAAACAAAAAACUCUCUUUCAGUAAAGUUGUGCAAAAUUAUGGACAUCUCAUUAUUAAUGAAAGCUGAAUGUGACUCAAUCCUGCUUGGAGAACACUAUUUUUUCCACACGUUAAGUUUAUUAUCAAGAGUUCUAGCAAACUAAAAAGAAAACAAAGAAUAUAUCAGGAUAAGUGCACAUUUGAAACAUCUUUUCUUAGACAAAUAAUGACAUCAUUAUAUACAGUAUGCCAUCCUCCCUUCUUUUUCUAACCGUUUUCUUUAAAUACAGAAACUCCAUAAUAUUGAAGCUCUACUGACAAUAAAUGGGUUACUUUCACUCGAGCAAUCUGUCGAUGCACUGCUGAGAACGCUUACAGAGGAAAAAAAAAAUGCAACAUGGCUGCAGUAAAAGCAAAGGUCCUAACAGAUUAAUGAUAAGUAAAGCCGACAGCCAUAAUACUUUUUUGUAAAAGGAAAAAAUGAAAUUCAAAGAAAGCCUGUUUCACGAUUGGUUACUUCCUGUGACAUUUCCUAAAAAAGGUGAAAGUGGUAUCACUGUCUAUUCACAUACGAUGUUAUUCAUCACUGGCUUUGCUAGCCGAACUCAGGUCAAGAAGAACUGAGACAAAGCAACACUGAUCCAAAAAAAAGAAAACAAACUUAAACUUAUCUUUUGAAUGUGUCCAAAUCUACUGAAUGUCUUUAAGAUCCAAAAUAAAUAAAUGCAUGCACCGCAAGACUGAAAAAGUACACCGAUGUCUGUUAAAGAGAAGACCUGGCUCAACCUCUGAAAUCUCUUCAGCUGCUUUCUCGGUUCGGUGAGAGCAGCAGUGACGCUGCACUGGGUCGUCUUUACUGAAAACCCUUUAAAAGGUGUGAGUACAGAGAACAUGCCUCUCUUUGGCAUGAAAGUAGCCGCUCAGAGUUGAUCUCUGCAUGUUCCCACAGAAGUAACCGAAUCCAUUUCAGAAACAAGUCGAACCAGGUCCCGAGCUACAGGCUUACGUUUGUCAACUGCACAAGGUUACAACACCUUCAGUGUGUCCAGACCAGGUGGUUAAACAAGGCAGUUUCCUGAAGUGCCAAAAAUCACCCAUCUCAUAAACGGCCCUUAGACUUUUAGAGGAAGCUCGAGAUGCUCAGCAUUGUCAGUGACGACCAAAGAGGAUUUGCGCUACAGGAGCUGCCGUCUUUAUUCAUCUGGUCCGUUAGUAACAUCUCAUCAUCCCUGAUUUACAAGUCUACGCUGUGAUGCUAGCCACAAUUAAAGGCACAUGUUACACAAAAUAUAGUUAAGGUUUCCCUGAGCAUUCACAGCAUUCACAUGGAUUUGCUCGCCAUGACUUUUAACCUCUGGUCAUCCCCCAGGUUAUUGGUGACAAAUGUAGGGUUAGGAACAGGAUUCAAAAUGUAACCGAGAACGGGUUACCAGUGAGCUGGUGAUUACCAAGAGGAGAGAGCUCUUGUUUCUGACAGUCUGGAAUUUAAUUGAACAUACUGUAAAUUUAUUUUCUGCAGUGCUUAUUGAUGGUGCUCUUAAUAAAAGCAGUCUGUUGGGCAAUACCAUUACUGCUUUUCUCACCAAUAAAUCCAGGUCAGUACACCUUAAUUCACAGUAAAGUUUCAAUCGAAACAAGGCAAAAAUGAGUUUAACAAAAUCAGAAAAAGAAAGCCUAAAUGAAUGUGACUGGUUUGCUGGUCCUCCGACCGGCAUUCGGAGGUGCUGGUCACCAGGUUUGGUUAGCUUUGGCUAACUGUUUAGAGCCCCUGCUAAUCUAAAUACGCAAUGGCUCAAACGUCAUUGUUUAGUAGAGAUUGGCACCAAUUUUCUUACUGAAAUUUUCUCAGACCUUGGACAAUUUGAUUGCCAAUACUUGUGGAACAAUUUUUUAAAGGAACAAAAAAAGAUUAGGGUAUUGUGAUCACCCAUGAUGACGUGGUUUCUUUUAACGCUGUGUGAUCUAACUUUAUAUCCAGUGGAUUCUUCCUGGGAAAGUCCUAUGCUACUGUAACAACCAGUGGAAUAAUGUAACCUGGAUAACCCACAGCGAACCUGCUACUCCAGAUUCAGUGCUAGAAACUAGUGGCGAGAUGUUCCAGUGAAAUGUGCCUACAAAUGCACAGAGAAACCUUAAGAACAGCUUUUUGUUGCUUGUCUUUUACACUGACCGUCACUUUAUUCGAACUAAUGAGUAUUAUUUUCAUCAUAAUCACCCACAGGUCCACAGGUACUCUCUACACUAGCCUGUAUACAGCACAGCAGUCGCUUUGACUUUAGGACAACUUGACGAUGUCAAUGACCAACAGCCUCGCUGCAGCCUACAUUUGACUCUCGCUAUUUAGAUGUUUACGGUGAACCUAAGGAUCCUUCUAUUCAACAUAUUUACGAAGUCAGUGAUCAACUGGGGUGUCAACCGAACAGCAGGUUGGAACACCUCAAGAGCUUGAAGCGAUGUCCUGCUUAGUCUUGCUCCUUUGUUGUCUGAAAGCCUGCACUGGUAACACAAAGUUACUGAGCUGUUUGAAGACGAACCGUCUGCUGCUCCGGUUGUUUACGUCAGCGCCUCGAAGAGCUCUAACUCAAAGCAGAAAAGUAUCGAGCAAGGUCAGAAAACUGGUCUCACCCUAGAAUACCUCAGCAGGCUACACCGCUGUGCCUCCUCAAAACAAUGGAAACCAAUGUAAACAGGGUCACACAACCACUCACUCUACAAAACAUCCAUCUGCAGUA
ensembl:lncRNA